rnacentral:rRNA from 1 species
UACAGAGGGGGCAAGCGUUGUUCGGAAUUACUGGGCGUAAAGGGCGCGUAGGCGGCCUUCUAAGUCGAACGUGAAAUCCCCGGGCUCAACCCGGGAACUGCGUCCGAUACUGGAAGGCUUGAAUCCGGGAGAGGGAUGCGGAAUUCCAGGUGUAGCGGUGAAAUGCGUAGAUAUCUGGAGGAACACCGGUGGCGAAGGCGGCGUCCUGGACCAACACUGACACUGAUGAGCGAAAGCCAGGGGAGCAAACGGG